UCCUUUGAGCCGUGAGCUGCUGACGUUGUCGGCAUCCCUCCAGUAGCCGUGAUCUGCGAGGCUACAGCACGGAUUACCGUGUAGAUCACUCCCUAGGUCGCACCAGCUUCCGGAAGCGCGAUCAAUCGACCAUCAGGUUGAUGGAAGC
rnacentral:ncRNA from 1 species